GGGGAAUUUUGGACAAUGGGGGCAACCCUGAUCCAGCAAUGCCGCGUGAGUGAAGAAGGCCCUCGGGUUGUAAAGCUCUUUUGUCAGGGAAGAAAAGGUUCUGGCUAAUAUCCAGAGCUGCUGACGGUACCUGAAGAAUAAGCACCGGCUAACUACGUGCCAGCAGCCGCGGUAAUACGUAGGGUGCAAGCGUUAAUCGGAAUUACUGGGCGUAAAGCGUGCGCAGGCGGUUUUAUAAGUCUGAUGUGAAAUCCCCGGGCUCAACCUGGGAACUGCAUUGGAGACUGUAAGGCUAGAGUGUGUCAGAGGGGGGUAGAAUUCCACGUGUAGCAGUGAAAUGCGUAGAUAUGUGGAGGAAUACCGAUGGCGAAGGCAGCCCCCUGGGAUAACACUGACGCUCAUGCACGAAAGCGUGGGGAGCAAACAGGA
rnacentral:rRNA from 1 species